GGCGCCUGUGUUUCAGCAAAGCCUGGGCAAUUGGAACGCAGGGCUCCUAAGAUUCCAUGACACCCCCACCUUCUAAUUCUGUUAUUGCAACUGCAGACCGUUACCUGGCAUGCUGGCUGCCACCUCCCUCACUCUUGUCAGAGUCUGAGCUACAGGCAGUGCCUUCAGCUCUGAGCUCAGGCGUCUCAAACCUUGUUUUUGCGAUUAAGGACUCUCAAGUGCUGUGGGGAGUGAUCACGUUUUUCUCAACAUCCCUGGCUCCACCUCUUCUGCCACAAACAUCAGCAUGGUGGUGUCUGCCAGCCCUUCAUCCAGUGUGAGAAGACAGAGAUGAACACUGGAGAAAUCAACAAGAAAUUGCGCCCCCAGCCGGCAGAGAACAAACAGCAGUUCAGAAACAUAAAGAGAAAUUUCUUGUAACUCAAGUGGCCUAAUUCCUGGCCAACCAGCAGAAGAAAUACCAGUAUGAAGAAUUCAAAGACCUCAUAAAAUCUAUGCUGAGGGAUGAGCUGCAAUUCAAGGACGAGAAGCUUGCAGAGCAGCUUGGGCAAGCUGAGGAGCUCAGGCAAUAUAAAGUCCUAGUUCACUCUCAGGCACGAGAGCUGGCCUGGUUAAGGAAGAGAUUACAGGAAGGGAGAGAUGCCUCCCGCUCAUUGAAUCAGCAUCUCCAGGCCCUCCUCACUCCGGAUGAGCCUGACAACUCCCAGGGGCAGGAUAUCUGAGAGCAGCUGGCUGAGGGCUGCAGGCUGACAGAGAACCUCAUCCACAAACUCAGCCCAGGUGGUCUUUGGAACAGGAGGCAGCAUCUCUCCAGUUUUAAAGGACAAGAAGGAGGCUGUGACAGGAGGGCGCUUGUUAGAGUGAAAAGAGCUCUGGACUAAGCAUGGAGGUUCCCAGGCUCUAUCUUCAGCAACGUCCUUCGUAACUGUCGAAAAUGAUGAAGAUGUGGAUGACGAUGUUUACGUUGAGGAGGCUGAGAAAGUGCGGGAAUCACGUGCCCCCAG